AGUUAGCCUUUAGUUUCUUAAUCUAUUGCUUACUAUCAAUCCAUUAUGUGCUAGGGUAAGGUAAUUACAUUGAGCUAAUCACAGAAACCACUCAUUUCAGUGUUUUUCUUUUCCUUUCCAUGCUCACCUCUGCCUCAGGUGAUGCCUGGCACAGCCCCCCUGAGCUCCCAGUCCAGAACCAGCACUUACAAAGGGAUCCUGUGCUGGGGUGAUAGCUGGAAUGUUGUAAAUCCAGUUACAGAGUGAGUGGGAGGCUGGGUCUAGGCCACCCCCCUUUUCUCCUCAAGUCACCAGCUUCCCUGAUAGCUCCAAGGAACCAUGGGCAACAGUCUUCCCAGGAGCUGGGGAGAGGAGCUUAGUUCCAGACCCUCUGGGGUACUACCAGUACUUGUGACUCAGAGGCCCUGAACGCCUUGUGUUACAGGAGGACAUUUCCAGUGAAGUUUCAUGACUUAUUUUCUUUUCCUUUUUUUGUGUUUGGUUUAUCAUUGUUAUGCACUUAGAGCAGAAAAGGUGCAUCAAGCUGCCUUUCAGUUUCUAUGGAAAGGCUGCACUCAUCUUCUCCUUUAACUUGGGAGUCAGGUCACUUCUGUCUUCAGGGCCAAGGACCAGUGGUGGAAAGGGGCACAUGACUUAACUUUUCCAUCUGGCACAUUUUGGCUGCAUAACCUCAGGAAUGGUAUUUAACCUCAAUUUCAUUUUUUUCUCAAACAAUAAUACCUGCCCACAAGGGUUAUUUUGAGUUGUUGAUGAAGUAAAGAAUUAGAAAGUGCCCAGCCUGGUAUUUGGCUUAUAGUUAGUCUCAUUUCUCUUCACGCCCUGGUUUCCAUUCCUUCCUGGCCCUCUUCUUAAUUCUGAAAAUGUUGAGCAAUGGGAAGAAGUCAUUCCCACCUCCAAACUUUUGAAGGACGGUUCUGAGGUUGGCUAUGAUGGUAAAACAUUGUGAGGUGUUUCUGUUAGUUUCUGCCAUGAAUAGUUGAUGGUUGUUAACAAGACUAAAAAUUAAUGGACAUUCUAACCACCAACUUGUGGAAUGUGGGGAAAAUGGCAGCGCUAGGACGGGGAUUCCAGUAUGGACUCCAGCAGGCAUGAGAGUGGGAAAUAUAAAGCAAUGGAGCCAGUGAGAGGCUGGGUCUGGGCCAGCAUCCCAACUUCCCCAAGAAAACAGCUUCCUAUCAAGUGCAGCCAGAGAGAGCAGUGGUGACAGUUUCCCCAUGGGUCAGUGAACCGGUGGAGCGACCCCAUUCCAGCCUGUGGAUUCAUGCAGGGGGCAGUUAGACGGGUCCCAAGACCCAAGGAGAUUAAAGCACAUCACAGAAACAGGAAUAGACCCCACCUGCAGCCACAGCCUUUCUGCCAUUCCUGUUUUACAAUGGGAUUCUCCCUCAACAGGUCAUGAGAGUUCUUAUUUUCCUCUCAGCUGUUCCCUCCUCCAUGGCUAAGAUCUGCCACCUGUGACAUGAUUCGAAUUCUACCCAAGAGCACGGGGAGAGAAUUUCCUGUCUGUUCUCAAGUAGCUGUUUUGUGUAAGGCACAUUUCCUCACUUGAUUCUAUUCUUGCCUCUCUCCUGGAGAAAUUAAUGGAGCAAACAACAGUUUUUAUCAAACAAUAUGCCAAUUUUUGGAAGCACAGGCCAUCCACCAAACCUGACUGAAUAACAAAGACUUUUGUAGAAGAGUUCGCACCGUCAUUCUUUUGCUUCCAGGCUGCACAGAAUGCUCUGAUUGAGGGCAGGACAACUGGACGCUGACGAUCACCUGAGAAGGCUAUUCAGUGAAUGCAUAUUCCCCUUCCAGUAUUCUUAGUCCAGCCCAUGGGGAGAGCAGUACUGUGACAAAGCGUCUUUGAAAGAGGAUGGUCAACCACGGAUAUUACCACGCACAUAUGGCCACACAAGGCUUGAAUAUAUAAUGCAUUUUCCUGAAAAAUAAGUUGGCAGCCAUAUAGAAUUUGCCGUUAAUAUGUGAUGCUAUCCAAUCUGGAAUGCGUGAGGAGUGAUUCUGGGUACAAUUUUGUUUUGUUUUUUCAUGGGUAUGGUCCUGUCUGUAACCACUGCAGAACUGGCAGUCAAGAGAUGUAGGAUAGAGACCGAGCGUUAGCAGCCAGGAGAAGCUUGGUCCAUUCUUCACUGACUGCACAGCAGCCACUAUUAAAGGCAGGGGAAGCCAUUUGUUCAUGAAUAUACAUUUGAUACAUCUAAAUGCUUUGUGCCAUGAAUAUUUAUCUCUUUCAUGGAUUGCAGCUGUUGUGUAUUAAAAACUAUUAACAGGUUGCAAAUCGUCCUUUAGAAACCUAUGUCUGCUAUUUGUGUGCAAAACCAUGUCUGGAAAUUUAUCUUUUCCCUCUCAUUCUUUUGCGGGAAAGAUAGAAUACUACUGGGGCUUACAAUGAGGUUGAUCCCUUGGUAGACAGAGAAGAUAAUUUGGUAAAAAUGGAAGGCAGCCUUUUUGGGAUACACACCCACCCACCCACCCACCAACUUUCCAACUUGUUUAUGUAAUUUUAUAACCAAGGCAGUGUUUUGAUGAAUGUCCAUCAUUCAUCAAAUGAUGAAUUACCAUCAGGUUUUGAUCAAUGUCCCAUUGUGAACAGAGAUGAAAAUAUCGGCUAUUAAAUAGUGUAUAAUUUUGUGGGUGAGGGAUGUCACAGGAUUUCUAUCUCUAACGAUGGGAUUUUUAGGCCUGUGGGUACUCAGAGUCUUCAGGGUGGGAUGUGUAGUUUUUCAGACUCUGAUGUUUUAUACUCCCUCUUAUGUUCUAUAAUCUAGCCCCUUGUUAACUCUUCUACAAUCCUCCAAUAAACAAGCUCUCUCAUACCUCCAAA